GUCAGGUUGGCCGAGUGGUCUAAGGCGCCAGACUCAAGUUCUGGUCUCCAUAUGGAGGCGUGGGUUGAAAUCCCACUUCUGACA
rnacentral:tRNA from 1 species